rnacentral:rRNA from 1 species
GUGGGGAAUCUUGCGCAAUGGGCGAAAGCCUGACGCAGCCAUGCCGCGUGAAUGAUGAAGGUCUUAGGAUUGUAAAAUUCUUUCACCGGGGACGAUAAUGACGGUACCCGGAGAAGAAGCUCCGGCUAACUUCGUGCCAGCAGCCGCGGUAAUACGAAGGGGGCUAGCGUUGCUCGGAAUUACUGGGCGUAAAGGGCGCGUAGGCGGACAGCGUAGUCAGAGGUGAAAGCCCAGGGCUCAACCUUGGAAUUGCCUUUGAUACUGGCUGGCUUGAGUUUGGGAGAGGUGAGUGGAACUCCGAGUGUAGAGGUGAAAUUCGUAGAUAUUCGGAAGAACACCAGUGGCGAAGGCGACUCACUGGCCCAAUACUGACGCUGAGGCGCGAAAGCGUGGGGAGCAAACAGGAUUAGAUACCCCUGUAGUCC